AGCGUACACGGUGGAUGCCCUGGCAGUCAGAGGCGAUGAAGGACGUGCUAAUCUGCGAUAAGCGUCGGUAAGGUGAUAUGAACCGUUAUAACCGGCGAUUUCCGAAUGGGGAAACCCAGUGUGUUUCGACACACUAUCAUUAACUGAAUCCAUAGGUUAAUGAGGCGAACCGGGGGAACUGAAACAUCUAAGUACCCCGAGGAAAAGAAAUCAACCGAGAUUCCCCCAGUAGCGGCGAGCGAACGGGGAGCAGCCCAGAGCCUGAAUCAGUGUGUGUGUUAGUGGAAGCGUCUGGAAAGGCGCGCGAUACAGGGUGACAGCCCCGUACACAAAAAUGCACAUGCUGUGAGCUCGAUGAGUAGGGCGGGACACGUGGUAUCCUGUCUGAAUAUGGGGGGACCAUCCUCCAAGGCUAAAUACUCCUGACUGACCGAUAGUGAACCAGUACCGUGAGGGAAAGGCGAAAAGAACCCCGGCGAGGGGAGUGAAAAAGAACCUGAAACCGUGUACGUACAAGCAGUGGGAGCACGCUUAGGCGUGUGACUGCGUACCUUUUGUAUAAUGGGUCAGCGACUUAUAUUCUGUAGCAAGGUUAACCGAAUAGGGGAGCCGAAGGGAAACCGAGUCUUAACUGGGCGUUAAGUUGCAGGGUAUAGACCCGAAACCCGGUGAUCUAGCCAUGGGCAGGUUGAAGGUUGGGUAACACUAACUGGAGGACCGAACCGACUAAUGUUGAAAAAUUAGCGGAUGACUUGUGGCUGGGGGUGAAAGGCCAAUCAAACCGGGAGAUAGCUGGUUCUCCCCGAAAGCUAUUUAGGUAGCGCCUCGUGAAUUCAUCUCCGGGGGUAGAGCACUGUUUCGGCAAGGGGGUCAUCCCGACUUACCAACCCGAUGCAAACUGCGAAUACCGGAGAAUGUUAUCACGGGAGACACACGGCGGGUGCUAACGUCCGUCGUGAAGAGGGAAACAACCCAGACCGCCAGCUAAGGUCCCAAAGUCAUGGUUAAGUGGGAAACGAUGUGGGAAGGCCCAGACAGCCAGGAUGUUGGCUUAGAAGCAGCCAUCAUUUAAAGAAAGCGUAAUAGCUCACUGGUCGAGUCGGCCUGCGCGGAAGAUGUAACGGGGCUAAACCAUGCACCGAAGCUGCGGCAGCGACGCUUAUGCGUUGUUGGGUAGGGGAGCGUUCUGUAAGCCUGCGAAGGUGUGCUGUGAGGCAUGCUGGAGGUAUCAGAAGUGCGAAUGCUGACAUAAGUAACGAUAAAGCGGGUGAAAAGCCCGCUCGCCGGAAGACCAAGGGUUCCUGUCCAACGUUAAUCGGGGCAGGGUGAGUCGACCCCUAAGGCGAGGCCGAAAGGCGUAGUCGAUGGGAAACAGGUUAAUAUUCCUGUACUUGGUGUUACUGCGAAGGGGGGACGGAGAAGGCUAUGUUGGCCGGGCGACGGUUGUCCCGGUUUAAGCGUGUAGGCUGGUUUUCCAGGCAAAUCCGGAAAAUCAAGGCUGAGGCGUGAUGACGAGGCACUACGGUGCUGAAGCAACAAAUGCCCUGCUUCCAGGAAAAGCCUCUAAGCAUCAGGUAACAUCAAAUCGUACCCCAAACCGACACAGGUGGUCAGGUAGAGAAUACCAAGGCGCUUGAGAGAACUCGGGUGAAGGAACUAGGCAAAAUGGUGCCGUAACUUCGGGAGAAGGCACGCUGAUAUGUAGGUGAAGUCCCUUGCGGAUGGAGCUGAAAUCAGUCGAAGAUACCAGCUGGCUGCAACUGUUUAUUAAAAACACAGCACUGUGCAAACACGAAAGUGGACGUAUACGGUGUGACGCCUGCCCGGUGCCGGAAGGUUAAUUGAUGGGGUUAGCCGCAAGGCGAAGCUCUUGAUCGAAGCCCCGGUAAACGGCGGCCGUAACUAUAACGGUCCUAAGGUAGCGAAAUUCCUUGUCGGGUAAGUUCCGACCUGCACGAAUGGCGUAAUGAUGGCCAGGCUGUCUCCACCCGAGACUCAGUGAAAUUGAACUCGCUGUGAAGAUGCAGUGUACCCGCGGCAAGACGGAAAGACCCCGUGAACCUUUACUAUAGCUUGACACUGAACAUUGAGCCUUGAUGUGUAGGAUAGGUGGGAGGCUUGGAAGUGUGGACGCCAGUCUGCAUGGAGCCGACCUUGAAAUACCACCCUUUAAUGUUUGAUGUUCUAACGUUGACCCGUAAUCCGGGUUGCGGACAGUGUCUGGUGGGUAGUUUGACUGGGGCGGUCUCCUCCUAAAGAGUAACGGAGGAGCACGAAGGUUGGCUAAUCCUGGUCGGACAUCAGGAGGUUAGUGCAAUGGCAUAAGCCAGCUUGACUGCGAGCGUGACGGCGCGAGCAGGUGCGAAAGCAGGUCAUAGUGAUCCGGUGGUUCUGAAUGGAAGGGCCAUCGCUCAACGGAUAAAAGGUACUCCGGGGAUAACAGGCUGAUACCGCCCAAGAGUUCAUAUCGACGGCGGUGUUUGGCACCUCGAUGUCGGCUCAUCACAUCCUGGGGCUGAAGUAGGUCCCAAGGGUAUGGCUGUUCGCCAUUUAAAGUGGUACGCGAGCUGGGUUUAGAACGUCGUGAGACAGUUCGGUCCCUAUCUGCCGUGGGCGCUGGAGAACUGAGGGGGGCUGCUCCUAGUACGAGAGGACCGGAGUGGACGCAUCACUGGUGUUCGGGUUGUCAUGCCAAUGGCACUGCCCGGUAGCUAAAUGCGGAAGAGAUAAGUGCUGAAAGCAUCUAAGCACGAAACUUGCCCCGAGAUGAGUUCU
rnacentral:rRNA from 1 species